rnacentral:tRNA from 1 species
GAGGGUAGAGUUCAAUGGUAGAGCACGUGCUUAGCAUGCACAAGGUCCUGGGUUUAUUCCCCAGUACCUCCA